GGGGUCGAUUUGGCUUCGACAAGAUUUGUUUCCCUUGAGUGCAUGCCGGCAUUGGUAAGCCGUAAAACUGCCAGUCAAAACAAACGCAGACAAUGCAACUUUCGCUCCAGCUUACGCAAAAGCAGCAUAAGCCUAACCAACUUCCGGAGCCGACUGCCUAGGCGAGACUAGCGCGCUUUUGUGGUCGUCAUUUUUGCUAGUUGCCUCUAGAAAAUGGCUCGAUUUUUAGAGAAAGAUGAGAGCUUUUUGCGCGAGUAAGUUUGGGGUCUUUCGCGCGAGAAUCUAAACCCCGCCCUUUUAAGCAUGUCGAUGCUCUUGAUUUGGAGGCUGGUUUUGGACUGGGGUUCGAUUCCCCACGACUCCACCA
rnacentral:tmRNA from 2 species